rnacentral:rRNA from 1 species
AUUGAACUCUGGCGGCAGGCUUAACACAUGCAAGUCGCGCGAGCGGCGGACGGGUGAGUAAUGUCUGGGAAUCUGCCUGAUGGAGGGGGAUAACUACUGGAAACGGUAUCUAAUACCGCAUACCAUCAGAUGUGCCCAGAUUUGAUUAGCUAGUAGGUGGGGUGAUGGCUCACCUAGGUGACGAUCCCUAGCUGGUCUGAGAGGAUGACCAGCCACAGUGGAUAUGAGCCACGGUCCAGACUCCGACGGGAGGCAGCAGUGGGGAAUAUUGGACAAUGGGCGCAAGCCUGAUGCAGCCAUGGGGCGUGUGUGAAGAAGGCCUUCGGGUUGUAAAGCACUUUCAGCGAGGGGGCGUUAAUCGCAGAAGAAGCACCGGCUAACUCCGUGCCAGCAGCCGCGGUAAUAC